GCAGUCCGAAUCGCCAAGGGUUACAUCAUAUCAUCCAGCAAUUUUAAAAAGGUUUUAAACCGGCGACAGACAUCGAAGAAGCAGAAAUUGAGUGCAUUAUGGACAACUCCAUCAUCACAACAGCACUUCUUUGGACCCAGAAGGGCAGAGGAAACACAGGAGACAAAAGACAACUUGGCACUAUAGCGUAGAGGCGGAAAUGAAGAUCCUGAGCCACACCUGAUGCACAAUAGUGAAGAUGGCCAGGGACAGACAGAGAGGGAGGACCUUCAUUGCUGCCCUAAACGUCAACAAAGACAUGGCUCACGGAAGAGGCCCUUCCAGCCAUUUCAGCCUCACUGCCCAGCAAUCCACCAAUUUAAUGCUAGCCUAAUCAUAGGACAAUUUACGAUGACCAAUCAACCUCCCAAACAGUACGUCUUUGGACUAUGGGAGGAAGCCGGAUCAUCCAGAAGUAACCCAUGCAGUCUUGGGGAGAACAUACAAACACCUUACAGGCAGUGGAGCAAAUGGAUUACCAAUGCAACAUGAAAUCUAAUUUAACCCAACACAGCAUCAGAAGACAAGUUUGAAAUGGAGUUUGAAAACAAUUCGUUCAAUCAUCCAGGUAUUAAGCUGGGAAAAUUGUGGCUUAUCCAGCACCAGAUGUUGUCAAAGAUUUUAAAAAGUGCAGAGGCUGCGGACACAUCAGUAAAGCAGGUAGGGAGAUAGAACGAAUGGACUGGAAGCUGGCCAUAAUAAUAUGACCGUUAAAUAAUAUUGCCAAGAAGUAUUACAUUAAUGAGGAAAAGGGAAGAUAUUCAAGAGUCACCAUGAUACAAGAAUACAACUCACAAAAAUAAUGGAUUCCCUAACAGAAAGAUUCAUGAGGAUGUGCACUUAGUUGAAGAGGCCGAAGAAAGCAGAUUGCCGUGGAGAUAGUGGACUGUGUACGUGUGUAGGUGGGAGGAGGGAACAAGGGCUUGAUUUGCUAUUGUUGUUUUGUGUUGCUUGUUGUAUCGUGCCGAGCAUGGUGGGCACGUUAUGUUGGUGCCAGAAUGUGUGGAGACACUUACAGGCUGCUCCAGCACACCACUUGUAAAAGCAAAUGAGAUAUUUCACAGCAUG